AAGAUUAAUUUUUUAGGCUUCUAACCUAAUAUAAAUGAUUUAUCAUUUAAUCUUU
rnacentral:tRNA from 1 species